UCAGUUUGAUUCUAGCUGUAUUAUCUGUACUUGUGUGAAACCAGAUACAUGCAAGACCUUUCCCUCCCAUAAGUAGGGAGUGCGAAGAUCACUGACUUACUUAAUGUAAACCCCAUCUUCACACUGUCUCACCGUUUCAGGUACCCACCAAUAACGCGCAUCUAACUUUAUGCCUGCAGUACUAAAUCCUGCAACAAGUAAGGAAACUUAGCUUCGAUUCCACACACUUAGGACCGGUAAAAUUCGUGCCAGCGACCGCGGUUAAACGAAAUGUCCAAAUAGAUUAAACCGGCACCUGUGGUAAGUGAAAACAUAAUGGUAACAAUAAAAAAUUCAAAGGGGUGCAAUCUGAUCAAUUAUAAUUUUUCCCUCAGUACCGUUUACACAAGCCCACGAAAGCUUAGACCAAAACCAGGAUUAGAUACCCAAUUAUUCUAAGCCUCUAACUACUGCCAGGGUAGUACGGACACAUGUCUAAAACCCAAAGAAAUUGGCGGCAUUCUAACGUCCCAGGGGAAUCUGUCCUUUAAUCCGAUGAUCCGCGUAUAUCAUACUCUUCCUAGAAUUAUCAAAAAUAACAGCCUAUGUAUUGCCGUCCACACUUGUUGACCCCUCAAGGGCAAUAAAGUUAGCUCAAAGGUCUAUAAAAUAACCUAUUUAUAAACCACUAUGUCAGGUCAAAAUAUAGCCAAUGAAAGAGGAGAGAUGGAUUACUACUAAUUACAAACCCGCGUCCCAUAUGAAAACAUGGUGACAAAGCAGGACUUGAAAGUAAGAAAGCAUAUAAAAUAGCUUUCUGAAUUCAGCAUCUAGAAUGAGCACAAAUCGCCCGUCACCCUCGCCGAAAGGUGAGGUAAGUCGUAACACAGUGGGCGUAACGGAAGUUGCGCCC
rnacentral:rRNA from 1 species